ACUCAAAUGAAUAGACGGGGGCCCGCACAAGCGGUGGAGCAUGUGGUUUAAUUCGAUGCAACGCGAAGAACCUUACCAAGGCUUGACAUCCCAACCGAUACGAUAGAGAUAUCGUAGCCCUUCGGGGGGUUGGAGACAGGUGGUGCAUGGUUGUCGUCAGCUCGUGUCGUGAGAUGUUGGGUUAAGUCCCGCAACGAGCGCAACCCUUAUCCUUAGUAGCUAACGCGUAAUGGCGAGCACUUUAGGGAGACUGCCGUGGAUAACACGGAGGAAGGCGGGGACGACGUCAAAUCAUCAUGCCCUUUAUGUCUUGGGCUACACACGUGCUACAAUGGCCGGUACAGAGCGAGGCGAAGCAGUGAUGCGGAGCAAAGCGCAAAAAGCCGGCCCCAGUUCGGAUUACAGUCUGCAACCCGACUGUAUGAAGCUGGAAUCGCUAGUAAUCGCAAAUCAGCAUGUUGCGGUGAAUACGUUCCCGGGCCUUGCACACACCGCCCGU
rnacentral:rRNA from 1 species